UACGUAGGGGGCAAGCGUUGUCCGGAAUCAUUGGGCGUAAAGCGCGUGUAGGCGGCUCGAUAAGUCUGCUGUGAAAGUCCAGGGCUCAACCCUGGAAUGCCAGUGGAAACUGCCGAGCUAGAGUCCGGAAGAGGCGAGUGGAAUUCCUGGUGUAGCGGUGAAAUGCGCAGAUAUCAGGAGGAACACCAAUGGCGAAAGCAGCUCGCUGGGACGGUACUGACGCUGAGACGCGAAAGCGUGGGGAGCAAACAGG
rnacentral:rRNA from 1 species